rnacentral:rRNA from 1 species
AGUUUAACUGGGGCGGUUGCCUCCCAAAAUGUAACGGAGGCGCCCAAAGGUUCCCUCAGCCUGGUUGGCAAUCAGGUGUUGAGUGUAAGUGCACAAGGGAGCUUGACUGUGAGACUGACAGGUCGAGCAGGGACGAAAGUCGGGACUAGUGAUCCGGCACUGGCUUGUGGAAGCGGUGUCGCUCAACGGAUAAAAGGUACCCCGGGGAUAACAGGCUGAUCUUCCCCAAGAGUCCAUAUCGACGGGAUGGUUUGGCACCUCGAUGUCGGCUCGUCGCAUCCUGGGGCUGGAGUAGGUCCCAAGGGUUGGGCUGUUCGCCCAUUAAAGUGGCACGCGAGCUGGGUUCAGAACGUCGCAAGACAGUUCGGUCUCUAUCUGUUGUGGGCGUAGGAAUAUUGAGGAGUGCUGACACUAGUACGAGAGGACCGUGUUGGACGUACCUCUGGUGUAUCUGUUGUGACGCCAGUUGCAGUGCAGAGUAGCUACGUACGGAAUGGAUAAGUGCUGAAAGCAUCUAAGCACGAAGCCAUCUCCAAGAUGAGUAUUCCAUUGGACUUCGGUCCUAAAAGGAUCCCCAAAGAUUAUGGGGUUGAUAGGCUAUAGAUGGAAGGCAUGUGAAUGCUGGAGUCGAGUAGUACUAAUUAUCCGAA